rnacentral:rRNA from 1 species
GACGAACGCUGGCGGCGUGCCUAAUACAUGCAAGUAGAACGCACAGUUUAUACCGUAGCUUGCUACACCAUAAACUGUGAGUUGCGAACGGGUGAGUAACGCGUAGGUAACCUGCCUGGUAGCGGGGGAUAACUAUUGGAAACGAUAGCUAAUACCGCAUAAUAUUGAUUAUUGCAUGAUAAUUGAUUGAAAGCUGCUAUUGCAUCACUACCAGAUGGACCUGCGUUGUAUUAGCUAGUAGGUGAGGUAACGGCUCACCUAGGCGACGAUACAUAGCCGACCUGAGAGGGUGAUCGGCCACACUGGGACUGAGACACGGCCCAGACUCCUACGGGAGGCAGCAGGAGGGAAUCUUCGGCAAUGGACGAAAGUCUGACCGAGCAACGCCGCGUGAGUGAAGAAGGUUUUCGGAUCGUAAAGCUCUGUUGUAAGAGAAGAACGGGUGUGAGAGUGGAAAGUUCACACUGUGACGGUAUCUUACCAGAAAGGGACGGCUAACUACGUG